AUUGAACGCUGGCGGCAGGCCUAAUACAUGCAAGUCGAACGGUAACAUAGAAGAAGCUUGCUUCUUUUGAUGACGAGUGGCGGACGGGUGAGUAAUAUUUGGGAAACUACCUGAUAGAGGGGGACAACAGUUGGAAACGACUGCUAAUACCGCAUAAAGCCUGAGGGUGAAAGCAGCAAUGCGCUAUCAGAUGUGCCCAAACGGGAUUAGCUAGUAGGUGAGGUAAAGGCUCACCUAGGCGACGAUCUCUAGCUGGUCUGAGAGGAUGAUCAGCCACAUUGGGACUGAGACACGGCCCAGACUCCUACGGGAGGCAGCAGUAGGGAAUCUUCGGCAAUGGGGGCAACCCUGACCGAGCAACGCCGCGUGAGUGAAGAAGGUCUUCGGAUCGUAAAGCUCUGUUGUAAGAGAAGAACGUGUGUGAGAGUGGAAAGUUCACACAGUGACGGUAACUUACCAGAAAGGGACGGCUAACUACGUGCCAGCAG
rnacentral:rRNA from 1 species